UACGGGGGGGGGUAAGCGUUGUUCGGAAUUACUGGGCGUAAAGGGCGCGUAGGCGGUUCGUUAAGUCCUGUGUGAAAUCCCCCGGCUCAACUGGGGAACUGCACAGGAAACUAGCGGGCUUGAGUUCGGGAGAGGGAAGCGGAAUUCCUGGUGUAGCGGUGGAAUGCGCAGAUAUCAGGAGGAACACCAACGGCGAAGGCAGCUCGCUAGGACGGUACUGACGCUAAGGCGCGAAAGCGUGGGGAGCGAACAGG
rnacentral:rRNA from 1 species